GAUGAACGCUGGCGGCGUGCUUAACACAUGCAAGUCGAACGCGAAAGCUUCCUUCGGGAAGCGAGUAGAGUGGCGCACGGGUGAGUAACACGUAAGUAAUCUACCUUUGGGUGGGGAAUAACUCAGGGAAACUUGAGCUAAUACCGCAUAAUGCAGCGGCUCCUUAUGGAGACAGUUGUUAAAGAAUUUAUUCGCUUAAA
rnacentral:rRNA from 1 species